rnacentral:rRNA from 1 species
UACGGAGGGGGCUAGCGUUGUUCGGAAUUCCUGGGCGUAAGGCGCGCGUAGGCGGCUUUGUAAGUUCGGGGUGAAAGCCCGGGGCUCAACUCCGGAAUUGCCUUUAAGACUGCAUCGCUAGAAUCGUGGAGAGGUAAGUGGAAUUCCGAGUGUAGAGGUGAAAUUCGUAGAUAUUCGGAAGAACACCAGUGGCGAAGGCGACUUACUGGACACGUAUUGACGCUGAGGUGCGAAAGCGUGGGGAGCAAACAGG